GCGAGAUACGACAACGAGCAAACCUGCCUCCCAGUCUCGGGGUCACUUCUGUAAUUAACGAGAUGAACCUGGCAAUCAAACUUACAGAAUGUUGUCAAACCACCGUUAAUCUUCAUUAAUUUCCAUCAAACUGUCAAAUUAUUAAUUUACCUCAAUAAAACAUAUUGCUGCUUCUCUUUCCA